rnacentral:rRNA from 1 species
GUGUCGUGAGAUGUUGGGUUAAGUCCGUAACGAGCGCAACCCUGUCCUAGUUACCAGCACGUUAUGGUGGGCACUCUAAGGAGACUGCCGGGUGACAACCGGAGGAAGGUGGGGAGUGACGUCAAGUCAUCAUGGCCCUUACGGCCUGGGCUACACACGUGCUACAAUGGUCGGUACAAAGGGUUGCCAAGCCGCGAGGUGGAGCUAAUCCCAUAAAACCGAUCGUAGUCCGGAUCGCAGUCUGCAACUCGACUGCGUGAAGUCGGAAUCGCUAGUAAUCGUGAAUCAGAAUGUCACGGUGAAUACGUUCCCGGGCCUU